AACGAACGCUGGCGGCAUGCCUAACACAUGCAAGUCGAACGAGACCUUCGGGUCUAGUGGCGCACGGGUGCGUAACGCGUGGGAAUCUGCCCUUGGGUUCGGAAUAACAGCGAGAAAUUGCUGCUAAUACCGGAUGAUGACGUAAGUCCAAAGAUUUAUCGCCCAAGGAUGAGCCCGCGUAGGAUUAGCUAGUUGGUGAGGUAAAGGCUCACCAAGGCGACGAUCCUUAGCUGGUCUGAGAGGAUGAUCAGCCACACUGGGACUGAGACACGGCCCAGACUCCUACGGGAGGCAGCAGUGGGGAAUAUUGGACAAU
rnacentral:rRNA from 1 species